GAAGCGGUAACUACGGCCCGCAACGCAAGAGUCGAAUCGCUCGCGUUCCAACACAGUUGCGCUUAGCGGUCUGAUUAGCCAUGCGGAGAGGGUUCGACAUUGUUUUGCGAUGGCUAGAAAGCAUCCGUGUGCGGUGUUUGGCUGCAAGAGCUCCGAUGGGAAAAACAAAACGACGCAGCACCGGAUGCCUCAUGAUGACGUCCUGCGCAAUGGCUGGCUCGAGCGCCUUGGAGCUGUUUCAGCCGCAUGCAUCGACGGUCUGUGUCACGAGAGGGCCUUGUCAUCGUAGGAGAAAUUUCUACCGCAGGUGAUCACAACCUACGCAAGUCUGGACGGCAAGAAGAGAGUGGAGUCCGCUGCUUAAGGGGGAACACAGUCCCCAAAAUAAAGUUCGUAGGUGUUUCGUGCUGCGAGUGCGGGCGAGCGUCAGUCUCUUUCGCAAGGUUUCACUCUUUCCAUAGCCACGUUUGCAAAUUCGGCAGCCAUCACCCUCACUUCUGCGGAUUUUAGUAAGCCGUAUUUUGAGCCUUCAUGCUUUCAUGACGUCAUUGUAAGAUUUGUUGAUCGGUAUGAUAUUUCCCGUUUGUCGUUAUGCUGUUUUUGUUAUUUUUGCCUUUUGCUUUCUUCAAACAAUUUUAUGCCCUCAUCAUUCGCCUUUACACUGGUUAUUUGUUAAGUGCCGUAUCCGUUUUCUUCACGUGCGUGGGGUCUCUUCCUGUUUUUUCUUCCUGGGUUCUCUUCCUCUCCUUCUUCCUCUCGCUCUUUUUAGAUUAUACUGUAAAAAUGGCUUAUGGUUAUUUUGGUGAUCGCUUGUCGCAAUCUUGGUCAACGCCGUUACCCAGCAGAUAACUUUUUUGUUUUUAUGUUUACCGGCCAAUGUGAGAGUGACAAGGCGGACACGUGCACAGCUUCCUCAAUGAAAUAUAUGUAUGUUGCUUGCUUACCAAAAAUAAACA